rnacentral:rRNA from 1 species
UACAGAGGGGGCGAGCGUUGUUCGGAAUUACUGGGCGUAAAGGGCGCGUAGGCGGCCUUCUAAGUCGAACGUGAAAUCCCCGGGCUCAACCCGGGAACUGCGUCCGAUACUGGGAGGCUUGAAUCCGGGAGAGGGAUGUGGAAUUCCAGGUGUAGCGGUGAAAUGCGUAGAUAUCGGGAGGAACACCAAUGGCGAAGGCAGCUCGCUGGGACGUUACUGACGCUGAGACGCGAAAGCGUAGGGAGCAAACAGG